UGGGGAAUAUUGCACAAUGGGCGAAAGCCUGAUGCAGCAACGCCGCGUGAGUGAUGAAGGUCUUCGGAUUGUAAAGCUCUGUCUUUUGGGACGAUAAUGACGGUACCAAAGGAGGAAGCCACGGCUAACUACGUGCCAGCAGCCGCGGUAAUACGUAGGUGGCGAGCGUUGUCCGGAUUUACUGGGCGUAAAGGGUGCGUAGGCGGAUGUUUAAGUGAGAUGUGAAAUACCCGGGCUUAACUUGGGUGCUGCAUUUCAAACUGGAUAUCUAGAGUGCAGGAGAGGAGAAUGGAAUUCCUAGUGUAGCGGUGAAAUGCGUAGAGAUUAGGAAGAACACCAGUGGCGAAGGCGAUUCUCUGGACUGUAACUGACGCUGAGGCACGAAAGCGUGGGUAGCAAACAGGAUUAGAUACCCUGGUAGUCCACGCCGUAAACGAUGAGUACUGGGUGUAGGAGGUAUCGACCCCUUCUGUGCCGCAGUAAACACAUUAAGUACUCCGCCUG
rnacentral:rRNA from 1 species